UACGUAGGGUGCGAGCGUUGUCCGGAAUUAUUGGGCGUAAAGAGCUCGUAGGCGGUCUGUCGCGUCGAUCGUGAAAACUUGGGGCUUAACCCUGAGCUUGCGGUCGAUACGGGCAUGACUGGAGUUCGGCAGGGGAGACUGGAAUUCCUGGUGUAGCGGUGAAAUGCGCAGAUAUCAGGAGGAAUACCGAUGGCGAAGGCAGGUCUCUGGGCUAUAACUGACGCUCAUGCACGAAAGCGUGGGGAGCAAACAGG
rnacentral:rRNA from 1 species